rnacentral:lncRNA from 1 species
UUUUUUUUUUUUUUUUUUUUUUUUUUUUGAGAGGGAGUCUCACUCUCCCAGGCUAGAGUGCAGUUGCGCGAUCUCGGCUCACUGCAAGCUCCGCCUCUCGGGUUCACGCCAUUCUCCUGCCUCAGCCUCCUGAGUAGCUGGGAUUACAGGCACCACGCCCGGCUAAUUUUUUUUGUAUUUUUAGUAGAGACGGGGUUUCACCGUGUUAGCCAGGCUGGUCUCGAUCUCCUGACCUCAUGAUCCACCUGCCUCGGCCUUCUAAAGUGCUGGGAUGACAGGCGUGAGCCACCAUACCCAGCCAAACAUAACAAAAUUUGUACAGGAUCUGCAAGCUGAAAAUUACAAAAUGGUGAUUAAAAAAGUCAAAGACAACCUAAAGAAGUAGAGAGACAAUAUCAUGUGUUCAUGGAUUAAAAGGUUCAACAUUGUAAAUAUGUUUAUGGGUUUAACGCAAUUUAUAUCAAAAUCUCAGCAAUGUCUUUGUCUUUCCUUUGUAAACACAGAUUUGUUUAUUCUAAAAUUUAUAUGGAAAGACAUAGCCCCUAGAAUAACUAAAACAAUCUUACAAAAAAAAAAAAAAAUCUAAAAUGGGCGGAACCACUCUACCUGAUAUUAAGUCCUACUAUGUGGUUACAAUAAUCAACACAGUGUGUUAUUGGUGGAGGCACAGAUACAAAAAUCAAUGGAAUUGAAUAGAGAACCCAGAAAUAGACCCACCCAAAUAUUUCCAAUUGAUUUUUUAACGAAGGUGCAAUAGCAGUUCAACAAAGGAAGGAUAGUCUUAACAAAUGGUGCUGGAAAGACUGGACAUCCACAGACAAUGGGUUCUCCAUCUAAACCUCACACCUUAUACAAACAUUAACUGAAAAAGUAUAACUUGCAACUAUAAAACUUUUAGACAAAAACAUCGGGGAAAAUCUCUAGGAUCUAGAACUGGGCUAAGAGUUCUUAGACUUGACAUCAAAUGUAUGAUCCAUAAAAGGAAAACUUGAUAAAUUUGACGUCAUCAAAAAGUUUUUAAAAGUCUUCCUCUGUGAAAGACCCUGCUAAGAGGAUGAAAAUACAGGCUACAGAAUGGAAGAAAAUAUUUGGAAAUCACAUAUCCAGCAAAGGACUAGUAUCUAG